GCUAAUACCGCAUAACAAUGGAUGACCCAUGUCAUUUAUUUUGAAAAGGGGGCAAAAUGCUCCACUACAAGAUGGACCUGCGUUGUAUUAGCUAGUAGGUGAGGUAACGGCUCACCUAGGCGACGAUACAUAGCCGACCUGAGAGGGUGAUCGGCCACACUGGGACUGAGACACGGCCAGACUCUACCGGAGCCAGCAGCGGUAUCUCCGCAAUGGGGCACCUGACCGAGCAACGCCGCGUGAGUGAAGAAGGUUUUCGGAUCGUAAAGCUCUGUUGUAAGUCAAGAACGGGUGUGAGAGUGGAAAGUUCACACUGUGACGGUAGCUUACCAGAAAGGGACGGCUAACUACGUGCCAGCAGCCGCGGUAAUACGUAGGUCCCGAGCGUUGUCCGGAUUUAUUGGGCGUAAAGCGAGCGCAGGCGGUUUGAUAAGUCUGAAGUUAAAGGCUGUGGCUCAACCAUAGUUCGCUUUGGAAACUGUCAAACUUGAGUGCAGAAGGGGAGAGUGGAAUUCCAUGUGUAGCGGUGAAAU
rnacentral:rRNA from 1 species